rnacentral:rRNA from 1 species
AUUGAACGCUGGCGGCAGACCUAACACAUGCGAGUCGAGCGGAUGAAGGGAGCUUGCUCCUGGAUUCAGCGGCGGACGGGUGAGUAAUGCCUAGGAAUCUGCCUGGUAGUGGGGGAUAACGUCCGGAAACGGGCGCUAAUACCGCAUACGUCCUGAGGGAGAAAGUGGGGGAUCUUCGGACCUCACGCUAUCAGAUGAGCCUAGGUCGGAUUAGCUAGUUGGUGGGGUAAAGGCCUACCAAGGCGACGAUCCGUAACUGGUCUGAGAGGAUGAUCAGUCACACUGGAACUGAGACACGGUCCAGACUCCUACGGGAGGCAGCAGUGGGGAAUAUUGGACAAUGGGCGAAAGCCUGAUCCAGCCAUGCCGCGUGUGUGAAGAAGGUCUUCGGAUUGUAAAGCACUUUAAGUUGGGAGGAAGGGCAGUAAGUUAAUACCUUGCUGUUUUGACGUUACCAACAGAAUAAGCACCGGCUAACUUCGUG